UACGGGGGGGCAAGCGUUGUUCGGAAUUACUGGGCGUAAAGGGCUCGUAGGCGGCCAACUAAGUCAGACGUGAAAUCCCAGGCUCAACCUGGGAACUGCGUCUGAUACUGGAUGGCUUGAAUUCGGGAGAGGGAUGCAGAAUUCCAGGUGUAGCGGUGAAAUGCGUAGAUAUCUGGAGGAAUACCGGUGGCGAAGGCGGCAUCCUGGACCGACAUUGACGCUGAGGAGCGAAAGCCAGGGGAGCAAACGGG
rnacentral:rRNA from 1 species